rnacentral:rRNA from 1 species
GAAAGAUGAAAAGAACUUUGAAAAGAGAGUUAAACAGUACGUGAAAUUGUUGAAAGGGAAACGAUUGAAGCCAGUCGUACUGACGGGAAAUCAACUUCUCGAGUGCUUGUCGUGAAUGACGUUGAGCUUCACGGCCUGCGUUGCUUGCGUUAUGGUGCUUUUAAGGUGUACUUUUCCGUAUGGUAAGUCAACAUCGAUUUUGAUCGUCAUAAAAUGAUCGGAGGAAUGUGGCUCUGAUCUUGUAUCGGAGUGUUAUA